rnacentral:rRNA from 1 species
UAACUGAGUGGCGAACGGGUGAGUAACGCGUGGGUGACCUACCUCCGAGUGGGGGAUAACGUCCCGAAAGGGACGCUAAUACCGCAUGACAUCCUGCGUUUGGAAACGCGGAGAUCAAAGCCUGGGAUCGCAAGACCUGGCGCUUGAAGAGGGGCCCGCGCCUGAUUAGCUAGUUGGUGGGGUAACGGCCUACCAAGGCAACGAUCAGUAUCCGGCCUGAGAGGGCGGACGGACACACUGGGACUGAGACACGGCCCAGACUCCUACGGGAGGCAGCAGUGGGGAAUUGUUCGCAAUGGGCGCAAGCCUGACGACGCAACGCCGCGUGGAGGACGAAGAUCUUCGGGUCGUAAACUCCUGUCGAGCGGGAAGAACGCUUCCCGGGUGAAUAAUCCGGGGAAUUGACGGUACCGCUAAAGGAAGCCCCGGCUAACUCCGUGCCAGCAGCCGCGGUAAUACGGGGGGGGCAAGCGUUGUUCGGAAUUACUGGGCGUAAAGGGCUCGUAGGCGGCCAACUAAGUCGGAUGUGAAAUCCCCAGGCUUAACCUGGGAACUGCAUCCGAUACUGGAUGGCUUGAAUCCGGGAGAGGGAUGCAGAAUUCCAGGUGUAGCGGUGAAAUGCGUAGAUAUCUGGAGGAAUACCGGUGGCGAAGGCGGCAUCCUGGACCGGCAUUGACGCUGAUGAGCGAAAGCCAGGGGAGCAAACGGGAUUAGAUACCCCGGUAGUCCUGGCCCUAAAC